rnacentral:rRNA from 1 species
ACCCAAUAGAUACCCCUGGUAGUCCACGCCCUAAACGAUGCGAACUGGAUGUUGGUCUCAACUCGGAGAUCAGUGUCGAAAGCUAACGCGUUAAGUUCGCCGCCUGGGGAGUACGGUCGCAAGACUGAAACUCAAAGGAAUUGACGGGGGCCGCACAAGCGGUGGAGUAUGUGGUUUAAUUCGAUGCAACGCGAAGAACCUUACCUGGCCUUGACAUGUCCGGAAUCCUGCAGAGAUGCGGGAGUGCCUUCGGGAAGUCGGAACACAGGUGCUGCAUGGCUGUCGUCAGCUCGUGUCGUGAGAUGUUGGGUUAAGUUCCCGCAACGAGCGCAACCCUUGUCCUUAGUUGCCAGCACGUAAUGGUGGGAACUCUAAGGAGACUGCCGGUGACAAACCGGAGGAA